GUGUUUUUAUUACAAGCAAACGCAUUCAAAUACAUCAAGGUUUUAAAUGUAAAAAACGUAGGCCUUUACGACCUACAAAGGGUGCACAGGUGUGGUAAGAAAAGAGGUUGGAAUGGUUCAAGGAGUGCACAUGCCCCUGAGGGCCAGCAAGCAUCCCCGGUGCGUUCAUCGGUAAUGAUCCUUCCGCAGGUUCACCUACGGAAA
rnacentral:misc_RNA from 1 species